ACAAUAUAGAUGCGAAUAUCAUGUGUCUGUUGUGACAGGUGUUGCAGUCCGAUUUAUUUCCACCCGCCGAGGCUUCCCUUUCCACAACUUAUCGUGGUGGUAUUCAGUUAAGUACAGUAUCUCAAUACAAGUUCCUAAUUUAUUGAAUCUUUUUCUGUCCUAUCUGAGGGAAUCCUGGCCUAAGUUUGCAUUUUCUUUCAGCUCUGUACAGACACAUCCCUGCAGUUGUCCCUUCAAGUUGAGCUUCAUGUAUAUUCCCUGCACAUGACGUUUUAGGUUGAUUUGCUACAGGAAUUUUGAGGAAAACUCUUUCCGAUCACUUUAUAUUGCAUGGCAAGAUUUGCAGUCUUGGGUAUGGAAGAAAACAACUGCUUUUUGAUAUUUUGUAAAUAAGACAAAACCGUGUAAUUAGUCAAUGUGUUAGUGAAAGCCUAACCAACGGUUGCCGGUGUCUAAAAAGACACAGUACCUGCUGUAGGAUAUUUAUGUCAGAUGCUCUUAGCAUGUUUCAGUGAAUCUCAUGCUCGUACUAAAAAAACGUCCGCUUCACAGAGAGGAACCCAUGACAGAGGCUGAGGUUUCUGUGGCAAAGUGUCGUUCAUUUUGUCUUUUCUCUUGGAGGUGGGUGUGCAUCUUUUUUGUUUCGUAGAGUUGGUUCAGUGCUUUGGCUUUACAUAUGCUAAUUCUAGCUGGGCUUGCAAUGGCACAAAUGCUAAACCAAGGCUUCGGUGUUUUUAAUUCAGUGACGUUUUGGGGACUAAUAAUCACAUUCAGGUGAUGAAUAUACAGUUGUUGUUUUCUUUCACGUGGUACUGUAUGUUGUACAGUUUAGGCACACCGCAGUUAUUUAAGCCAUUCUUAAGUGAUAGUGCUCGUAUUCUCUGUAAUAAAUAGAGACCAAUUGGAAUCACACAUCGAAAGGUCUGUUGUGUACGGUUUCGACAGACCUCUUCUGCUAAAAUACUGGCUUGAGAUGGUCAGUUAUAUGAACUUUACUGAACAAAAUUAUGGAGGCUGGGUUAUUUUUAUUUUAUAUAUACCUAAUUUUGUAUUUUUAAAGUUUUUUUUUUUUUUUUUUCGGGGUUAACCUGUGUUCUUGUCAUUUCAAGGCCCCUAAAAAGCAUUACAAGGGCUGAUUGCCUGUCACAGCGCAUUAAAAUAAAUGAAUUUCAACUUUUAAAGCAUAAAAUAUUUUUGCAGUGUGGCCGUUGGAUUUUAUUGUACAUGGAACUGUACUGUAGAGUUGUGUGAAGAUAUUUGUUUACAUUUGGUAAACUUUUAUUCCUUUUUGGUGACGCUAUCAAUCUACUACAGAUUUGCAGGUCAUUUCUCUUCGUAGUUGCUCUCAGAAUCAUGUCAUUGUUUCAUUUUCUUACUACGAUUGGAAAUUUCGGGAUACACCCUCCCUCAAAAAAAAAAAAAACGGUUAACUAUUGAGGAAAAUAAUAUUCCGUUCCCGUCGGGCUUGAAAAAGAAUGUUAAUCAUUUUGGAGAUUGUACAUUGUUUGAUUGUUUAGUAAAGACGGACGUGAAGCUUUAGGGUACUUCAAAUGUACAUGCGUGAAUAUUCUCAGUUUAAGGCUUAAGCUGGUGGUAUGAAUAUUAUUUUAAUGCCAGGAAAGGUACAAGUUGUGGAAAAGGUCUAUUUUUGUGACCCAUGUAAGGGCGACGGGAGAUUUUUCUUGUAGGUUUUAGUUUUUGUUACAUGUUUUGGUCAUCGGGUUCCCCUUCAAAAUUGACAGGACUUUUAAAAAGAGGUCCAGAAUUCAGCUGGUGGAGUUGGGAGUGCCUUUUACCUGUCACAGCGCAUUAAUAACACAACUAACCAAACACUCAUCCAUGACAUUUUAGUUUUUGCAUUUUAUAAUAAUUUCACGUUCGAUUUCUACCAGGUAUAGGGCAGUGAUUUUAAUUUGAUUUCAUUUUCUGUUAGGGAUCAACAGCUAGUUUUUUCAAAAAUGGACGUUUUAAUUGUCCUGCAUACAGUAGAUGUCUUGUGUUCAUGUCGAUGUUUAGAGAAAAUAAUAGGUCCAUACUGUAUCAUCAAUGAAUAUUGUACUAAUUCAUGUUUGAGGAAAUCCACUUCGAAAAGAUGUACAUUAUCAUAGGCAGCAUACGUGGGUAUGAGUUUAACAAUAUGUGUACAGUGAAAGGUGUAUCUUCUGAUAAUGCUGGAGAGGGCAGCAUGAAACUCACACAGAUGUAAUAGUCUCUCACAGUGUAUUCUCAACUUGCAAUCGUUUUAAAAACCGUUUGAUCGAUGUAAACCAUUCCUUGAGACCAAAUUUAGUAUAAUCAAUGUUUGUACUGAAAAUCUCACAGUUGUUUGUAUCUUCCCUCCUUUCCCCGAUACAAAUAUUCAUCUGCAGGUUCUCAUCAUGUGAAUUGUAUUUCAAACAAUGUGAUUUUAAGACACUGGCGGAGAAACUUUCCAUAAUAAAUAAGCAGUCUGUGCUGAGUGUGAACGGCUGCAGAUGGUGGGUUUGUAAUGGGGCAUUUUCUUUGCAUGUAUAACACAAGAUAUAAAUAUUUCCUGUAACUGGCACAUGGUACUGUGGUUUUGGAGUGGAGUAGAUGGGAUAGGAUACUACUGAAUCAAAAGAUUAUCGGUCUCAGAUUUGCAGCCUUCAGUGGUCAUUGUUCACGUUUUGAAUAACUUUUAUUUUUUUGCUCUAGAAAUGAAAACUGGGGAUGUUGUAGAACUGUUGGAUGCUGCCUUCAGGCUCAUUCACUUUUCUGUUAUUCAGAGGAAUAAUUAUAGUGAAGUCGAUGCUUGCUCAUGAACAAAAUAAAGGAUGAGAUGGGAAUAAA